CCUACGGGCGGCAGCAGUGAGGAAUAUUGGUCAAUGGGCGCGAGCCUGAACCAGCCAAGUCGCGUGAGGGAAGACGGUCCUAUGGAUUGUAAACCUCUUUUGUCGGGGAGCAAAAGCCGCCACGCGUGGCGUUCCGAGAGUACCCGAAGAAAAAGCAUCGGCUAACUCCGUGCCAGCAGCCGCGGUAAUACGGAGGAUGCGAGCGUUAUCCGGAUUUAUUGGGUUUAAAGGGUGCGCAGGCGGAAUAUCAAGUCAGCGGUAAAAUUGAGAGGCUCAACCUCUUCGAGCCGUUGAAACUGGUUGUCUUGAGUGAGUGAGAAGUAUGCGGAAGGCGUGGUGUAGCGGUGAAAUGCAUAGAUAUCACGCAGAACUCCGAUUGCGAAGGCAGCAUACCGGCGCUCAACUGACGCUCAUGCACGAAAGUGUGGGUAUCGAACAGGAUUAGAUACCCGGGUAGUC
rnacentral:rRNA from 1 species